AUUCAUUAAUUGAAAAAUUGUCGUUUGAUCAAGUCAUUGAUCUGAGUGACUUACUAACAGAUUAAAUUUAUAAUUCUUUUGUUUCUGAUUCUCGAUAAUAGCACAUACAAAAUAAAAUUAACAAUGAGCUUUAAUCAGUUGCCGACUGAACUGAAAAGAAAAAUAUUUUCAUAUCUUGGAGGAAAGGAAUAUCAGACGCUACGUCACGUAGAUAGUAAUUGCAAAGCUGUCAUUGCUGAUAUGGCAAAGUGGAGAGGCAGAUGUACAAUGAACGGGAUAAAACCAUGGAAAAAUCAAUUAAUUAAACUACAAUAUCCCUCAUUGAAAAGUGAUAAGUACAACCAUUUAAAGGAAAAAGAGUUUAAAUUAAUUUUUCUAUUGUACAAAAAAUGGCAUAAAGUGAUUAAUGCCGGCCAUUUUCGUUUUGAAGCUUUUGAUGUUACUCCAGAAAAUUUUCCUCCUCGAAUAAGUUUUGAAAAUUCGACAUUUUCUUAUGACUUAUUAGCUGGUCAUUUUGCUGUGGGAACAAGGAAUAUAGGAGGAAUUUGUUUCUUUGAUAUCAAUGAACGGAUAGACAAGACGCAUGAGUUUCAUUUCAAUUAUUACGUUGAUGGUAUUCAAUUUAAUUCUCGUGAAAUUGAAAGAUUCAAUAGAUUCUAUUUUUCAAUUGAGAUGAAACUUUGGAUAACUGGUAAUGGAACAGUAAUCAAUGUUGUAUAUUUUCGCAAUCGAAUUUUCUUUUGGGACGUUAACAGAAAAAUUAAAAUUCAAACUCCACUUAUUUUUCGUACUGCAGAAUUUCGGAAACUAUUAUUAUCCUUACGACGGGGAACUGAUGAAUAUUUUUACCUUAUAAAUACUGUGGGUGAAACAAUGAACGUCAUCAGAUUAGAUUACGUUGAAAAUGAAAUAACUACAACAGAAAUAUUAAAAAUUUAUUAUACUGAAGAUGAUUCCUAUGAACUUAUUGAUUUUUAUGCAGAAGGGAGAAAAAUAAUGAUAAUUCAUCAAUCGCGCAAGCUAAAAAACUUUUUGCUAACAACAAUAGUUAAGCUUCCACAGUCAAAACCUUUACCAGUAACUUUUAGUGCUUAUAAUGAUAAGUAUACUGCAAUUGCGGAAGUGAGGAAGGAAAUUCUGGAGUAUUAUAAACUUAUCAUUCCGUGUAUAAAUGUCGUAAUAGCAUAUGCCAUCGAAAAUGCCAAGGCUACGAAGAGGUGAUAUAAGACAGGAUUAUUUAAAAUUGCUUCCAAGCCGUCUAAUUAAAUAUGAAAAAUCAUUUAUAAUAUCCGCUAUACGGGUUUGGAAUUUACGGCCACCUACUUGUACUAAUUUACUAUCUUUUUGCGAGUUUAGAGAUGCUUGCUACAAACACUUUAUCAGUAUACAAAAUAAUACAAAAUAAUAAUAAUAAUUAAUAACAGUGAUAUUGAAAUUGUUCUAAUUUUAGAUUAGAAUUGAUUAUUUAUAAAUGUAAAUUGCUUAAUAAUCGCAAUGAUGUAUGAAACUCGAAUGUUAUACUAUACAAAAAUUGUAAUUGAAGGUAUAAAGGAUGGCCGCAAGGAGCUUAGACUACAUGGCCAACAAGAAAAUUCAUCGUUCAAGUAUCAAGUUUCGACAAACGUAAUAAACAUAUUACAACACUAAAACACUACGAAAUACCAGAAAGAAUUAUGCCGGGCGGUUCUGAAAUUACUUGCAUGUCAUU